rnacentral:rRNA from 1 species
UACGGAGGGUGCGAGCGUUGUCCGGAAUCACUGGGCGUAAAGGGCGCGUAGGCGGUUUGGUAAGUCACGUGUGAAAUCCCGGCGCUCAACGCCGGGGCUGCAUGUGAGACUGUCAGACUAGAGCUCGGUAGAGGCAAGUGGAAUUCCCGGUGUAGCGGUGGAAUGCGCAGAUAUCGGGAGGAACACCAGUGGCGAAGGCGGUUACCUGGAGCUUUGCUGACGCUGAUGCGCGAAAGCGUGGGGAGCGAUCCGG